rnacentral:rRNA from 1 species
AUUCCGUGCCAGCAGCCGCGGUAAUACGGGAGUGGCAAGCGUUAUCCGGAAUUAUUGGGCGUAAAGCGUCCGCAGGCGGCCCUUCAAGUCUGCUGUUAAAAAGUGGAGCUUAACUCCAUCAUGGCAGUGGAAACUGUUGGGCUUGAGUGUGGUAGGGGCAGAGGGAAUUCCCGGUGUAGCGGUGAAAUGCGUAGAUAUCGGGAAGAACACCAGUGGCGAAGGCGCUCUGCUGGGCCAUCACUGACGCUCAUGGACGAAAGCCAGGGGAGCGAAAGGGAUUAGAUACCCCUGUAGUCCUGGCCGUAAACGAUGAACACUAGGUGUCGGGGGAAUCGACCCCCUCGGUGUCGUAGCCAACGCGUUAAGUGUUCCGCCUGGGGAGUACGCACGCAAGUGUGAAACUCAAAGGAAUUGACGGAAU